rnacentral:piRNA from 1 species
UCUGGUGUUAACUGGCCUGGGUAUC